CAGGCGAGAAAGGGAACAGAUCAGCAUGAAGCCGAUGUGGAAGGAAGCACCUGUGUGCAACACAGCCUUUUCACCCCGCAGCCUUCACCAGGACCUUCUCCACGACUGCAGCAGGAUGUCUAUUCAAGGGGUAUGGAGUACGGGAAGAGUGCAAGCCAAGAGAAGUACGGUCUUAUUGUUUUAACAGCUGACACCUACAAAUGCAGAUUUGAAUCACUGAAACAUGUAGAACUUAAGUCUCAAGACUGGGUGCUGCGGUGUGUUAAACGGGACAGAAAGUCACCUGUAUUACACCUUUGGCAACAGAAAGGUUACUUCUAACAGUGGAGGGAUGUGCACAGUUUAUUUUUAUCUCACGUGUUGCAUGCAAAUUGCCCCUGUCUACAGUACAGUGUGCAUACAAAGUUUGCUGAGGUGUCCAAACUAGAUUCACUGUGAGUACUUCUCCAGUAUAUGCAAUUAAAAUGUAAUUCAUUUCUAGAUAUCAUCAAUAUUCUGUCACGGUGUAAGGGGAAUGGACUAGAUGACCCAUGAAGUCUAUUCCUAC
rnacentral:lncRNA from 1 species